UACGGAGGAUCCAAGCGUUAUCCGGAUUUAUUGGGUUUAAAGGGUGCGUAGGUGGCUUUGUAAGUCAGUGGUGAAAGUUUUCAGCUUAACUGGAAAAUUGCCAUUGAUACUGCAGGGCUUGAGUACAGAUGAGGUAGGCGGAAUGUGUCAUGUAGCGGUGAAAUGCAUAGAUAUGUCACAGAACACCGAUUGCGAAGGCAGCUCACUAAAGUGUAACUGACGCUGAGGCACGAAAGCGUGGGGAUCAAACAGG
rnacentral:rRNA from 1 species